GACGAACGCUGGCGGCGUGCUUAACACAUGCAAGUCGAACGGAAAGGCCCUGCUUUUGUGGGGUGCUCGAGUGGCGAACGGGUGAGUAACACGUGAGUAACCUGCCCUUGACUUUGGGAUAACUUCAGGAAACUGGGGCUAAUACCGGAUAGGAGCUCCUGCUGCAUGGUGGGGGUUGGAAAGUUUCGGCGGUUGGGGAUGGACUCGCGGCUUAUCAGCUUGUUGGUGGGGUAGUGGCUUACCAAGGCUUUGACGGGUAGCCGGCCUGAGAGGGUGACCGGCCACAUUGGGACUGAGAUACGGCCCAGAGUCCUGCGGGAGGCAGCAGUGGGGAAUAUUGCACAAUGGGCGGAAGCCUGAUGCAGAAACGCCGCGUGCGGGAUGACGGCCUUCGGGUUGUAAACCGCUUUCGCCUGUGACGAAGCGUGAGUGACGGUAAUGGGUAAAGAAGCACCGGCUAACUACGUG
rnacentral:rRNA from 1 species